GAGAGACGGCUUCUCAUCAUGGCGGACCCUAGAGAUAAGGCGCUUCAGGACUACCGCAAGAAGCUGCUUGAGCACAAGGAGAUCGACGGCCGUCUUAAGGAGUUAAGGGAACAAUUAAAAGAACUUACCAAGCAGUAUGAAAAGUCUGAAAAUGAUCUGAAGGCCCUACAAAGUGUUGGGCAGAUUGUGGGUGAAGUGCUUAAACAGUUAACUGAAGAAAAAUUCAUUGUUAAAGCUACCAAUGGACCAAGAUAUGUUGUGGGUUGUCGUCGACAGGGCUCUGUGGAUGCCGAAAGUUGGCAUUUCUAAGAUAUUUCAGGUUGCAUGGGGACAAGACUGUAUUUGAAAACUAAAAAACAUUAGAAAAGCCAAAGUAUAUAUAAGUUGAGUAUCCCUUAUCCAAAAUACUUGAGCCAGAAAUGUGUUUUAGAUUUUGGCUUUUUUUUUUUCAGGUUUUAGAAUAUUUGCGUUGUACUGGUUGAGCAUCCCUAAUUAAAAAAAUCAAAAAUUUGAAAUGCUCCGAUGAGCAUUUUCUUUGAGCAUCAUGUCAGCAUUCAAAAAAUUUCACAUUGUGGAGCAUUUUGGAUUUUCAGAUUAAGAAUACUCAGCCUGUAUUCCCUAUAGAUGUAAACAUUGAAAUAGCUUCAUAUUGAUUUAUCGUCUUAUUUUUUCAAGUAACCUCACUUCUUAGCUGUUUUUUCCUUAAUUGUUAUAUUAAUCCUAGUGUUUUGCCUAUCUUCCUAAAUUUGAAGCUCUUUGUAAAAUCCUGUGACAAGUGGUCAGUAAUUUAUAUGAUUCCGAAAUUGUAUUGGCACACAGUUUUUUAAACUAUUAAAAAGUAACUUGGGUCUGGCGGGGUGGCUCAUGCCUGUAAUCUCAGCACUUUGGGAGGCUGAGGUGGGCAGAUCACGAGGUCAGGAGUUCGAGACCAGCCUGACCAACAUGGUGAAACCCCAUCUUUACUAAAAAAUACAAAAAAAAAUUAGCCGGGCAUGGUGGCGCACACCUGUAAUGCCAGCUACUCGAGGCUGAGGCA
rnacentral:sRNA from 1 species